AGAGUGAACGCUGGCGGCAGGCCUAACACAUGCAAGUCGAACGGCAGCACAGAGGAGCUUGCUCCUUGGGUGGCGAGUGGCGGACGGGUGAGGAAUACGUCGGAAUCUGCCUAUUUGUGGGGGAUAACGUAGGGAACUUACGCUAAUACCGCAUACGACCUACGGGUGAAAGCGGAGGACCUUCGGGCUUCGCGCAGAUAGAUGAGCCGACGUCGGAUUAGCUAGGUUGGCGGGGUAAAGCCCACAAGGCGACGAUCCGUAGCUGGUCUGAGAGGAUGAUCAGCCACACUGGAACUGAGACACGGUCCAGACCUCCGUACGGGAGCAGCGAGGUAGGGAAUUAGUGGACAAGUGGGCGACAAGCCGUAGACU
rnacentral:rRNA from 1 species